AAAGGAAGGAGGGGGACCUCAUGCGGCAGCGUGCUGUGAGUGGACCCCACCCCCUGUCAGGGGGACCGGACGUCUGUGACUGAGCUCCCGCUGGGGAGGCAGCAGAAAGCAGCGGCCUUCCCGGCCUUCCCCUCGCUCACUAUCCUGGGGGGGCCUGGCUGAGCCUGCCCCACGCUUGCUACCCGGAGGAGGACUGGCCGAGCCUGCCCUGCUCCAGCUGCCCGGAGGAGGAGCCAAGCCUGCCCCGCUCCAGCUACCCGGAGGAGGACUGGCCGAGCCUGCCCUGCUCCAGCUGCCCGGAGGAGGAGCCGAGCCUGCCCCGCGCUCACUACCCCGAGGAGGACUGGCCGGAACCGCCCUGCUCCAGCUACCCCGACGAGGAGCCGAACCUACCUUUCGCCACCUACCCCGAGGACCUGCUGGACCCGCCUGUGGACACUCACCUUGAGGAGCCGAUGGUGGUUGACCCCUACGCUGACAUCACGACGACUCAGCUUCACCUUCCAGCCAACGGAUCAUGUACUGUGUCUGAAGGAAAAGGAUCGGAACGCUCCACAUAUUUGGAAGAAACAGAUGUGAUCAGGCACUAGACAAGAGUGGACAAAGAGGGGUUGGACUCUGCUGGCCAGGCCCCCAACAUUUCAUAAACAUAGUUCAAAAUCACUGAGUUAAUUCAUUGGUGUUUAUUUUUAAAGUAGAAUUGUAUGUGUCUGAACCUCAUAUAUUUUCUACAAAACAAAAGA